rnacentral:lncRNA from 1 species
GUCUAUGGGUAAUAACAUGGUGUUUUUGAAUGAGAGUACACAGAGAUGGAAAUUAACUUUUUUGCCCACCAGCCACUGUGGCAGGUAGAUUUAAAAAUCUACCAGCCACUCAUCUUUUUUACCAGCCACUUUUUAUGCGCUAUAUAUUUUUUUAAUAUAUGCGUACAUUUUAAACAAUAUAAUAGUAACAAUAGAUAAGAAAACUGCUUUUCAUACACAUCAUUUUUCAAUCAGAAGUGAUUCUUACUGUAAGUAGGUGCUACCAAGGAACUGAGUUGAAAAUGUCACACUCUUACCGCAUAUGAUAAACAAUACACAGGUAUCUGCCAUGUUAAUGUCAAAGGUGUUACGAUGACAAGUUUGGGGAUAAUGCAUCUGUACAAAGGAUUUUCAAUAAAAAAAAAAUUGACAUAUUAACAAUAAAACAACAUGCAUGGCUACACCAUCAUAAGUCAAUCUAAUUAGUGCCUGAAUACAAAUGUGUCCACAGACAUGGUAACUAACGUAUGAUAGUAUGCAUUAUUGGCCCUUAAAGGCCAACUAGGCAACUUUUUUAGCCAAAAUUACAUUAAGUAUGCAGGUUGAGAGUUAUGCUGAUGGUUCUGCAUCAAUUUCUGGGUCGAUUGGUGGGUGUGUCAUUUUCCCAUGUCGCCUCUACAGUGAAAAAGCGCACAUGCAACUUGAUGUGUUCGGACCGAGCGCACCCGGAUGUGACGCCGCGGAAGUAUCCUCGAAAAUGUAGUCAGAUUGUAGUUUCGAAAAUGCUUUACGGCACAGACACACACCCAAACAUGGCACCGGCUAGAUAUAAACAGCCAGUUGCGAGGCAAUUGUUGCAUUCAUCAUGGAUCAAUCGACUAAUGAAUAAAGAAAGAUGUCGGCCGUAUGCUUCUGUGCAAGGGUCACUACUCUCUGCCAGUGACGUCGGGUCAAGCUCCGCGCUGAUUGGCUAUCGUGGCUAAGCGUCACACGUUGGAGCGUUGAAAGUUCAACUCUGGGCGUUGGUGCUUUACGGCAAAGACCCCCAAACACGGAACCGGCUCGAUAUAAACACAAGUAACUAAGGGAUUGUUAUAUUCAUCAUAGAUCAGCCGACUAAAAAGAGACAGAGAAACCCAAUGUCGGAGAAACAGAAGAAGAGAAAAGGGAGACUGACCGACAGAGAGGCCAGACACGAGUAAACAUUGGGCAAGCUUUUCAGGAAUAGCGUGAACUGAAAGAAAAAGAAGACUGCAAAUCAGACGCCGACUCGGCCGUGUUGCUUUUGAAAUUGAAAGUACCCUUGCGUGAACUUUGUCUUCGUGGUAUUCUUGAUGUUGAUAGUCUCUGUACAAAUGUGUUUGCUCAACCAUUUUGUUGUGAGCCCUGUAAAAAUUGUUUUCUCGACCGUUUUGUUGUGAACCCUGUAUGUUUCUAGCUUGCUUGGUUGCAACCAAGUUUCCAUGGGUGUUUUGCAGUUCGUCCGUCUCGUCCCCCAGAUACAGACUGAAUCCCCGAAUCCAGGUUCUUGUUUAUUUAGAUUAUUAUGUUGGCCAAACCUCUUACACUGAUUGUUCUGUUCAACCUAAGAUAUAACAAUUAUAAUCUAGGAUAUAAAUUCUCCCCGUCAACUAUAAAAAAUUAUGGAUUUAUGUUUAUUGCAAUACAAAUACACCAUUUUAAAAACGUAUAACCUUGCCUACACUUUAUGAAAUGCACAUGGCUCGCGUAGAAGUGCAUGGGGAAGGGUCGUCAACGAGUUGUUACGACAGUGUUGUGAAAUAUCUACUAUGAAGCUGUAGGGGGCGCUGUGUAGAGAAAUGUGCGUGCCAAAACCAAGAAAACAACAAAGAAAUUCCCGAAGUUGCAUAGUGGGCCUUUAACACUAAUAUUCAGAAAAAACAUUGCCUCAAAAGGCUAUUGGCUUAAGCAAUACAAGUAGAGGCAUAUACUUGACCUUUAUACCCUGAACUUUUAAACGUUGCAAACGUGCAAAAAAAUAAUUAUAUAUUUAUGUGGCAUUCAG